UCUGCAAGAACUGUGUGUAUCGGCUUUACGCUUUCUGCUGUGCGUUCCUUGCCGAAAGUAUCUCUUGCUAUAUCAAUUUGAGCAAAGUGGGCAGUUAGGUUAAACUUGACUUAUUUGUUUUCCCUAACAAUCAUUUUCCUCUCAUGU